rnacentral:pre_miRNA from 1 species
UUAAUCCAUUUAACAACUCAACCCAUCAAAUUAAAUGAGUUAUGGGUUGACCCAAUCCAUUUAACAAAAUGAGUUGGAUCAACCCAUAACUCAUUUGAUUAUGAGUUGAGUUGGAUCAACCC